rnacentral:rRNA from 1 species
GUGACUGCGUACCUUUUGUAUAAUGGGUCAGCGACUUAUAUUCUGUAGCAAGGUUAACCGUAUAGGGGAGCCGGAGGGAAACCGAGUCUUAACCGGGCGUUAAGUUGCAGGGUAUAGACCCGAAACCCGGUGAUCUAGCCAUGGGCAGGUUGAAGGUUGGGUAACACUAACUGGAGGACCGAACCGACUAAUGUUGAAAAAUUAGCGGAUGACCUGUGGCUGGGGGUGAAAGGCCAAUCAAACCGGGAGAUAGCUGGUUCUCCCCGAAAGCUAUUUAGGUAGCGCCUCGUGAAUUCAUCUCCGGGGGUAGAGCACUGUUUCGGCUAGGGGGCCAUCCCGGCUUACCAACCCGAUGCAAACUGCGAAUACCGGAGAAUGUUAUCACGGGAGACACACGGCGGGUGCUAACGUCCGUCGUGAAGAGGGAAACAACCCAGACCGCCAGCUAAGGUCCCAAAGUCAUGGUUAAGUGGGAAACGAUGUGGGAAGGCCCAGACAGCCAGGAUGUUGGCUUAGAAGCAGCCAUCAUUUAAAGAAAGCGUAAUAGCUCACUGGUCGAGUCGGCCUGCGCGGAAGAUGUAACGGGGCUAAACCAUGCACCGAAGCUGCGGCAGCGAACGUAUCACCCAAGACAACUUUACGGAGUUGACGAUUGACGGAGCGAAGCGACGUCAAAGCGUUCAUUAAAGUCGAGUUGGCUUAGGGAUACGUUCGUUGGGUAGGGGAGCGUUCUGUAAGCCUGUGAAGGUGUGUCGUGAGGCAUGCUGGAGGUAUCAGAAGUGCGAAUGCUGACAUAAGUAACGAUAAAGCGGGUGAAAAGCCCGCUCGCCGGAAGACCAAGGGUUCCUGUCCAACGUUAAUCGGGGCAGGGUGAGUCGACCCCUAAGGCGAGGCCGAAAGGCGUAGUCGAUGGGAAACGGGUUAAUAUUCCCGUACUUGGUGUUACUGCGAAGGGGGGACGGAGAAGGCUAUGUUGGCCGGGCGACGGUUGUCCCGGUUUAAGCGUGUAGGUGUGUGUUCCAGGUAAAUCCGGUUCACUUUAACACUGAGGCGUGACGACGAGGCACUACGGUGCUGAAGCAACAAAUGCCCUGCUUCCAGGAAAAGCCUCUAAGCAUCAGGUAACACGAAAUCGUACCCCAAACCGACACAGGUGGUCAGGUAGAGAAUACCAAGGCGCUUGAGAGAACUCGGGUGAAGGAACUAGGCAAAAUGGUGCCGUAACUUCGGGAGAAGGCACGCUGACACGUAGGUGAAGUGAUUUACUCAUGGAGCUGAAGUCAGUCGAAGAUACCAGCUGGCUGCAACUGUUUAUUAAAAACACAGCACUGUGCAAACACGAAAGUGGACGUAUACGGUGUGACGCCUGCCCGGUGCCGGAAGGUUAAUUGAUGGGGUCAGCGCAAGCGAAGCUCCUGAUCGAAGCCCCGGUAAACGGCGGCCGUAACUAUAACGGUCCUAAGGUAGCGAAAUUCCUUGUCGGGUAAGUUCCGACCUGCACGAAUGGCGUAAUGAUGGCCAGGCUGUCUCCACCCGAGACUCAGUGAAAUUGAACUCGCUGUGAAGAUGCAGUGUACCCGCGGCAAGACGGAAAGACCCCGUGAACCUUUACUAUAGCUUGACACUGAACAUUGAGCCUUGAUGUGUAGGAUAGGUGGGAGGCUUUGAAGUGUGGACGCCAGUCUGCAUGGAGCCGACCUUGAAAUACCACCCUUUAAUGUUUGAUGUUCUAACGUGGACCCGUAAUCCGGGUUGCGGACAGUGUCUGGUGGGUAGUUUGACUGGGGCGGUCUCCUCCUAAAGAGUAACGGAGGAGCACGAAGGUUGGCUAAUCCUGGUCGGACAUCAGGAGGUUAGUGCAAUGGCAUAAGCCAGCUUGACUGCGAGCGUGACGGCGCGAGCAGGUGCGAAAGCAGGUCAUAGUGAUCCGGUGGUUCUGAAUGGAAGGGCCAUCGCUCAACGGAUAAAAGGUACUCCGGGGAUAACAGGCUGAUACCGCCCAAGAGUUCAUAUCGACGGCGGUGUUUGGCACCUCGAUGUCGGCUCAUCACAUCCUGGGGCUGAAGUAGGUCCCAAGGGUAUGGCUGUUCGCCAUUUAAAGUGGUACGCGAGCUGGGUUUAGAACGUCGUGAGACAGUUCGGUCCCUAUCUGCCGUGGGCGCUGGAGAACUGAGGGGGGCUGCUCCUAGUACGAGAGGACCGGAGUGGACGCAUCACUGGUGUUCGGGUUGUCAUGCCAAUGGCACUGCCCGGUAGCUAAAUGCGGAAGAGAUAAGUGCUGAAAGCAUCUAAGCACGAAACUUGCCCCGAGAUGAGUUCUCCCUGAGACUUAGAGUCUCCUGAAGGAACGUUGAAGACGACGACGUUGAUAGGCCGGGUGUGUAAGCGCAGCGAUGCGUUGAGCUAACCGGUACUAAUGAACCGUGAGGCUUAACCUUACAACGCCGAAG